ACUCCUACGGGAGGCAGCAGUAGGGAAUCUUCCACAAUGGGCGCAAGCCUGAUGGAGCAACACCGCGUGAGUGAAGAAGGGUUUCGGCUCGUAAAGCUCUGUUGUUAAAGAAGAACACGUAUGAGAGUAACUGUUCAUACGUUGACGGUAUUUAACCAGAAAGUCACGGCUAACUACGUGCCAGCAGCCGCGGUAAUACGUAGGUGGCAAGCGUUAUCCGGAUUUAUUGGGCGUAAAGAGAGUGCAGGCGGUUUUCUAAGUCUGAUGUGAAAGCCUUCGGCUUAACCGGAGAAGUGCAUCGGAAACUGGAUAACCUGAGUGCAGAAGAGGGUAGUGGAACUCCAUGUGUAGCGGUGGAAUGCGUAGAUAUAUGGAAGAACACCAGUGGCGAAGGCGGCUACCUGGUCUGCAACUGACGCUGAGACUCGAAAGCAUGGGUAGCGAACAGGAUUAGAUACCCUGGUAGGAUAGCG
rnacentral:rRNA from 1 species